AUUGAACGCUGGCGGAAUGCUUUACACAUGCAAGUCGAACGGCAGCACGGACUUCGGUCUGGUGGCGAGUGGCGAACGGGUGAGUAAUGUAUCGGAACGUGCCCAGUCGUGGGGGAUAACGUAGUGAAAAUUACGCUAAUACCGCAUACGAUCUAUGGAUGAAAGCGUGGGAUCGCAAGACCACGCGCGAUUGUAGCGGCCGAUAUCAGAUUAGGUAGUUGGUGGGGUAAAGGCCCACCAAGCCAACGAUCUGUAGCUGGCCUGAGAGGACGACCAGCCACACUGGAACUGAGACACGGUCCAGACUCCUACGGGAGGCAGCAGUGGGGAAUUUUGGACAAUGGGCGAAAGCCUGAUCCAGCCAUUCCGCGUGCAGGAUGAAGGCCCUCGGGUUGUAAACUGCUUUUGUACAGAACGAAAAGGUUUCUACUAAUACUAGGAGCUCAUGACGGUACUGUAAGAAUAAGCACCGGCUAACUACGUGCCAGCCGCCGCAGUAA
rnacentral:rRNA from 1 species